rnacentral:rRNA from 1 species
ACGAACGCUGGCGGCAGGCUUAACACGUGCAAGUCGAACGAAGUCUUCGGACUUAGUGGCGCACGGGUGAGUAACACGUGGGAAUAUACCUCUCAGUGGGGGAUAACGUCGGGAAACUGACGCUAAUACCGCAUACGCCCUUCGGGGGAAAGAUUUAUCGCUUAGAGAUUAGCCCGCGUCCGAUUAGCUAGUUGGUAAGGUAACGGCUUACCAAGGCGACGAUCGGUAGCUGGUCUGAGAGGAUGAUCAGCCACACUGGGACUGAGACACGGCCCAGACUCCUACGGGAGGCAGCAGUGGGGAAUAUUGGACAAUGGGCGAAAGCCUGAUCCAGCCAUGCCGCGUGAGUGAUGAAGGCCUUAGGGUUGUAAAGCUCUUUCGACGGGGACGAUGAUGACGGUACCUGUAGAAGAAGCCCCGGCUAACUUCGU